rnacentral:rRNA from 1 species
UACGGAGGGUGCAAGCGUUAUCCGGAUUCACUGGGUUUAAAGGGUGCGUAGGUGGGCUUGUAAGUCAGUGGUGAAAGCCCGGAGCUUAACUCCGGAACUGCCAUUGAUACUGCAGGCCUUGAGUACACUUGAGGUGGGCGGAAUACAUCAUGUAGUGGUGAAAUACUUAGAGAUGACCCGGAACACCGAUUGCGAAGGCAGCCCACUACGCAAUGAUUGACGCUGAGGCACGAAAGCGUGGGGAUCAAACAGG